UACGUAGGGUGCAAGCGUUUAAUCGGAAUACUGGGCGUAAAGCGUGCGCAGGCGGUUGUGCAAGACAGAUGUGAAAUCCCCGGGCUUAACCUGGGAACUGCAUUUGUGACUGCACGGCUAGAGUGUGUCAGAGGGGGUAGAAUUCCACGUGUAGCAGUGAAAUGCGUAGAUAUGUGGAGGAAUACCGAUGGCGAAGGCAGCCCCCUGGGAUA
rnacentral:rRNA from 1 species